AGAGUUUGAUCCUGGCUCAGAACGAACGCUGGCGGCAGGCCUAACACAUGCAAGUCGAACGCGACCUUCGGGUCGAGUGGCGCACGGGUGAGUAACGCGUGGGAAUCUGCCCUAUGGUACGGAAUAACAUCGGGAAACUGGUGCUAAUACCGUAUAUCCCCUGAGGGGGAAAGAUUUAUCGCCAUGGGAGGAGCCCGCGUAGGAUUAGCUAGUUGGUGGGGUAACGGCCUACCAAGGCGACGAUCCUUAGCUGGUCUGAGAGGAUGAUCAGCCACACUGGGACUGAGACACGGCCCAGACUCCUACGGGAGGCAGCAGUGGGGAAUAUUGGACAAUGGGGGAAACCCUGAUCCAGCCAUGCCGCGUGUGUGAUGAAGGCCUUCGGGUUGUAAAGCACUUUCGCACGUGACGAUGAUGACGGUAACGUGAGAAGAAGCCCCGGCUAACUUCGUGCCAGCAGCCGCGGUAAUACGAAGGGGGCAAGCGUUGUUCGGAAUUACUGGGCGUAAAGGGCGCGUAGGCGGUGCUCUAAGUCAGGCGUGAAAAGCCCUGGGGCUCAACCCGGGGAAUUGCGCUUGAUACUGGAGCGCUUGAAUCCAGGAGAGGUUGGUGGAAUUCCCAGUGUAGAGGUGAAAUUCGUAGAGAUUGGGAAGAACACCGGUGGCGAAGGCGGCCAACUGGACUGGUAUUGACGCUGAGGCGCGAAAGCGUGGGGAGCAAACAGGAUUAGAUACCCUAGUAGUCC
rnacentral:rRNA from 1 species